rnacentral:rRNA from 1 species
ACGGAGGGUGCAAGCGUUAUCCGGAUUCAUUGGGUUUAAAGGGUGCGUAGGUGGGUAAGUAAGUCAGUGGUGAAAUCUCCGGGCUUAACCCGGAAACUGCCAUUGAUACUAUUUGUCUUGAAUACUGUGGAGGUCAGCGGAAUAUGUCAUGUAGCGGUGAAAUGCUUAGAUAUGACAUAGAACACCAAUUGCGAAGGCAGCUGGCUACGCAAAUAUUGACACUGAGGCACGAAAGCGUGGGGAUCAAACAGG